rnacentral:rRNA from 1 species
GACGGAGGAUGCAAGCGUUAUCCGGAAUGAUUGGGCGUAAAGCGUCCGCAGGUGGCAGUUCAAGUCUGCUGUCAAAGACCGGGGCUUAACUUCGGAAAGGCAGUGGAAACUGAACAGCUAGAGUAUGGUAGGGGCAGAGGGAAUUCCUGGUGUAGCGGUGAAAUGCGUUGAUAUCGUUAGGAACUCCGGUGGCGAAGGCGGCACGCUAGACCUCUUCUGACGCUGAGGCACGAAAGCCAGGGGAGCGAACGGG